rnacentral:rRNA from 1 species
AGCGAACGCUGGCGGCAGGCCUAACACAUGCAAGUCGAACGAACCUUUCGGGGUUAGUGGCGGACGGGUGAGUAACACGUGGGAACGUGCCUUUAGGUUCGGAAUAACUCAGGGAAACUUGUGCUAAUACCGAAUGUGCCCUUCGGGGGAAAGAUUAAUCGCCUUUAGAGCGGCCCGCGUCUGAUUAGCUAGUUGGUUGAGGUAAUGGCUCACCAAGGCGACGAUCAGUAGCUGGUCUGAGAGGAGGAUCAGCCACAUUGGGACUGAGACACGGCCCAAACUCCUACGGGAGGCAGCAGCGGGGAAUCUUGCGCAAUGGGCGAAAGCCUGACGCAGCCAUGCCGCGUGAAUGAUGAAGGUCUUAGGAUUGUAAAAUUCUUUCACCGGGGACGAUAAUGACGGUACCCGGAGAAGAAGCCCCGGCUAACUUCGUG